rnacentral:rRNA from 2 species
GCCUUAGGGUUGUAAAGCUCUUUUAGCAAGGAAGAUAAUGACGUUACUUGCAGAAAAAGCCCCGGCUAACUCCGUGCCAGCAGCCGCGGUAAGACGGAGGGGGCUAGCGUUGUUCGGAAUUACUGGGCGUAAAGAGUGCGUAGGCGGUUUAGUAAGUUGGAAGUGAAAGCCCGGGGCUUAACCUCGGAAUUGCUUUCAAAACUACUAAUCUAGAGUGUAGUAGGGGAUGAUGGAAUUCCUAGUGUAGAGGUGAAAUUCUUAGAUAUUAGGAGGAACACCGGUGGCGAAGGCGGU